GCCAGGCACAGUGGCAUAUGUCUGUAGUCCCACUUACUCAGAAGACAGAGCCAGGAGGAUCACUUGAGCCCAGGGGUUCUGGGCUGUAGUGUACUAUGCCAGUCAGGUGUCCAUGCUAAGUUCAGCAUCAACAUAGGGGAUCACCAGAGUGCCUGAGGAGGUGUGAAACAGUCCAGGUUGGAAACAGAGCAGGUCAAUACUUCCCUGCUGAUCAGUAGUAGGAUUGUGGCUGUGAGUAGGCACUGCACUGCACUCCAGCCUGAGCAACAUAGUAAGACCCCAUCUCUA
ensembl:misc_RNA Metazoa_SRP Metazoan signal recognition particle RNA